rnacentral:rRNA from 1 species
CUAUACAUGCAGUCGAGCGAAUGGAUUAAGAGCUUGCUCUUAUGAAGUUAGCGGCGGACGGGUGAGUAACACGUGGGUAACCUGCCCAUAAGACUGGGAUAACUCCGGGAAACCGGGGCUAAUACCGGAUAACAUUUUGAACCGCAUGGUUCGAAAUUGAAAGGCGGCUUCGGCUGUCACUUAUGGAUGGACCCGCGUCGCAUUAGCUAGUUGGUGAGGUAACGGCUCACCAAGGCAACGAUGCGUAGCCGACCUGAGAGGGUGAUCGGCCACACUGGGACUGAGACACGGCCCAGACUCCUACGGGAGGCAGCAGUAGGGAAUCUUCCGCAAUGGACGAAAGUCUGACGGAGCAACGCCGCGUGAGUGAUGA